UGGAGCAUUUUGAGAUUUUUGGACAUUUUUGCUGUUUCCAUGGUAACGGUGUCCAUUUUGAAAAUUCCAACAACAGUUUCAAUAUCGACUUAUGCCAUGUGAUAUAUACAUAAAGUUUCUUUGAGUUUGAUCUUAUAUUCCUUUAGAAAAGGCUGGUUUGAUGUUUUUUCCCAUAGGUUCAAUGUUAAACUUUUCUCCAGUUUCCAUGGCAAUGGUACAGAUUUUGCAGAAGCUAAGUCCUGUUGGUACCUCAGGGCACCACUGCCAACAUUUACAUAAAGUUUCAUUAGGUUGGCUCUUAUAAUAAAAGAUUUAGAAUUUGGAUUUUUUUUUACAUUUUUGCAGUUUCCAUGGUAACGGCGGCCAUUUUUUACCAUUCCAAUGUCUCUUGCACAACUUCACAUGGAGGUUCAUAUUAUGGUAUAGUUUCAUCAACAUUGGUCUGACCAAUUCCGAGAAAUAGCGUGGACAAAAUGUGUGGAAGAAUAAAAAUAAGAAAAAAAAGAAACGAACAAUAACAAUAUGUCACCCCAACUCCGUUGAGGGUGCCAUAACUAGAUUUGCCAUUGCAAGCAAUAGCGGAUGGCACCCUUCCCACAUUGCCAGGCGAGCGGCAGCAAUCUAGAAAAUUCCAAAGUCAAAGUGUGCAUCUACACAUUCAAAUUAUCAUAUUUGUUAAGUUUCAUUAAGUUUGGAGCAUUUUGAAGUUUUUGACAUUUUUGCUGUUUCCAUGGUUACGGCGGCCAUUUUGAAAAUUCCAACUUCAAAAGUCAACGCUGCUUAUGCAAGUAACCAUUUCUGUAAAGUUUCAUCCAGUUUGCAGCACAUUUAUUUUUUUUUGAAUUUUU
rnacentral:lncRNA from 1 species